rnacentral:ncRNA from 1 species
UAAAAGCUUGGUUCUAGCUAAAAAUUUAAUUCUGUUUUGACUACCACAUGUAAGCUUUAAGCAACCCAGCAAACACCCCUUCAAUAAAAUAAAACACAAAUUUUAUUUUACAAAGUAAAAGUAAAAACUUAAACUAACCUACAAUAAUUGCGAACUUCAGUGUUUAACAUUAUACAAUCUAAGAAACUAGGAUAUAGUCAAAAACAAGAAAGGCGGUCAAUAACGUGCCAGCAACCGCGGUUACACGUUAGCCUAAAAUUAAAUAACUCCGGUAAUCAGAAGUAUUUCUCUAUAAAAAUUUUAUAAAAAUAAAACAGCAGUAACAAGCUAAAAACUAAAUAAUAUAAAAUAUGUAAACUACUUAGAAAAAAAAGAACUAAACUGGGAUUAGAUACCCCACUAUACUUUUUUCUCCUCCUAAAAACCAGAGCAGUAUAACUAAAAAUCUAAACUUAAAGAACUUGGCGGUUUUCUAAACCUUCUUGGAGGAGCUUGUUAUCCAAUUGAUAACCCACAAGAUACCUUACCAGUUUUAGACAACAGCCUGUAUACCAUCGUCGCCAGCUUUCCUUAAAGAUUGAAAGCAUAAAGAAAACUCACCCAAACGUCAGAUCAAGGUGCAGCCAAUAAACUGGGGAUCAAUGAGCUACCUUACUCCCAAAUCAGAGGAUUUAUAACUGAAAAAGAUAAUGAAAAAGGAUUCAACAGUAAUUUUAUAAAGAAAUAUUAUAAUGAAACAAGCUCUAGAAUGCGUACACAUCGCCCGUCACUCUCAUCAAAAGAAGAGAAAAGUCGUAACAUAGUAAAUGUACCGGAAGGUGCAUCUAGAAAACU